CCUGGAGAUCUUCAAAACCCGUCUGGAUGUGUCAUGGAGAAUGUGCUCUAGAUGGCCCUGCCGGAGCAGAGAUGGAGUUGGACCAGAUGAUCUUCAGAGGUCC